UUUGANCAUGGCUCNGGAUGAACGCUAGCGGCAGGCCUACACNUNCAAGUCGAGGGGUAACGANNUCUUCGGACAGUCGACGACCGGCGCACGGGUGAGUAUCGCGUUUGUAACCUACCUCUAACUGGAGCAUAGCCCGAAGAAAUUCGGAUUAAUACUCCAUAAUACUAUGAUCUGGCAUCUUUUUAUAGUUAAAGCUCCGGCGGUUAGAGAUGGGCAUGCGUGACAUUAGUUUGUUGGUGAGGUAAUAGCUCANCAAGACUACGAUGUCUAGGGGGUCUGAGAGGAUGGUCCCCCACACUGGUACUGAGACACGGACCAGACUCCUACGGGAGGCAGCAGUGAGGAAUAUUGGUCAAUGGGCGCAAGCCUGAACCAGCCAUGCCGCGUGAAGGAUGACAGCGCUAUGCGUUGUAAACUUCUUUUGUACAGGAAGAAACACUUCUACGUGUAGAAGCUUGACGGUACUGUACGAAUAAGCAUCGGCUAACUCCGUGCCAGCAGCCGCGGUAAUACGGAGGAUGCAAGCGUUAUCCGGAUUUAUUGGGUUUAAAGGGUACGUAGGCGGAAAAUUAAGUCAGUGGUGAAAUCCUGCAGCUCAACUGUAGAACUGUCAUUGAUACUGGUUUUCUUGAAUAUAGUUGAGGUAGGCGGAAUGUGUAAUGUAGCGGUGAAAUGCUUAGAUAUUACACAGAACACCGAUUGCGAAGGCAGCUUACUAAGCUAUGAUUGACGCUGAGGUACGAAAGCGUGGGGAGCGAACAGGAUUAGAUACCCUGGUAGUCCACGCCGUAAACGAUGAUCACUCGUUGUUGGCAAUACAUCGUCAGCGACUGAGCGAAAGCAUUAAGUGAUCCACCUGGGGAGUACGCUCGCAAGAGUGAAACUCAAAUGAAUUGACGG
rnacentral:rRNA from 1 species